rnacentral:rRNA from 1 species
GACGUAGGAUGCAAGCGUUGUCCGGAUUUAUUGGGCGUAAAGAGUUCGUAGGCUGUUUGUUAAGUCUGAUGUUAAAGACUGGGGCUCAACCUCGGAAAUGCAUUGGAUACUGGCAGACUGGGAGUGCAGUAGAGGCUAGUGGAAUUCCCAGUGUAGCGGUGAAAUGCGUAGAUAUUGGGAAGAACACCGGUGGCGUAGGCGACUAGCUGGGCUGUAACUGACGCUGAGGAACGAAAGCCAGGGGAGCGAAUGGG